GCCACCGUAACUCAGCCGGUAGAGUGCCUGUCUCGUAAACAGGAUGCCACGGGUUCGAAUCCCGUCGGUGGCU
rnacentral:tRNA from 1 species